rnacentral:rRNA from 1 species
AUUGAACGCUGGCGGCAGGCCUAACACAUGCAAGUCGAGCGGAUGAAGGGAGCUUGCUCCUGGAUUCAGCGGCGGACGGGUGAGUAAUGCCUAGGAAUCUGCCUGGUAGUGGGGUAUAACGUCCUGAGACGGGCGCUAAUACCGCAUACGUCCUGAGGGAGAAAGUGGGGGAUCUUCGGACCUCACGCUAUCAUAUGAGCCUAGGUCGGAUUAGCUAGUUGGUGGGGUAAAGGCCUACCAAGGCGACGAUCCGUAACUGGUCUGAGAGGAUGAUCAGUCACACUGGAACUGAGACAGGGUCCAGACUCCUACGGGAGGACGCAGUGGGGAAUAUUGGACAGUGGGGGAAAGCAUGAUCCAGCCAUGCGGCGCGUGUUAAGAAGGUCUUCGGAGUGGAAAGCACGUUAAGUUGGGAGGAAGGGCAGUAAGUUAAUACCUUGCUGGUUUGACGUUACCAACAGAAUAAGCACCGGCUAACUUCGUG